rnacentral:rRNA from 1 species
GAUGAACGCUGGCGGCGUGCCUAAUACAUGCAAGUCGAGCGAACAGACGAGGAGCUUGCUCCUCUGACGUUAGCGGCGGACGGGUGAGUAACACGUGGAUAACCUACCUAUAAGACUGGGAUAACUUCGGGAAACCGGAGCUAAUACCGGAUAAUAUAUUGAACCGCAUGGUUCAAUAGUGAAAGACGGUUUUGCUGUCACUUAUAGAUGGAUCCGCGCCGCAUUAGCUAGUUGGUAAGGUAACGGCUUACCAAGGCAACGAUGCGUAGUCGACCUGAGAGGGUGAUCGGCCACACUGGAACUGAGACACGGUCCAGACUCCUACGGGAGGCAGCAGUAGGGAAUCUUCCGCAAUGGGCGAAAGCCUGACGGAGCAACGCCGCGUGAGUGAUGAAGGUCUUCGGAUCGUAAAACUCUGUUAUUAGGGAAGAACAAAUGUGUAAGUAACUAUGCACGUCUUGACGGUACCUAAUCAGAAAGCUACGGCUAACUACGUG